AUGGACAAGCUGAAGCUCGCCGCUCUAUACAUCCCUGGACAUGGCAUUGUGGGCAAGUCCAAUGAUCUUCUGCCAGUCUAUGACAUUAUGCAUCGUGUGUUCUGUUGUGUGCUACUUCCCAAGGUUGGGAAUCAAGAUGAUAUCUAUGGUUAUCUGGUGGAUUUGCUUGUGGCCAUGAAGACCAAGAGGGGAUCCGGUGCCACGUUUGAUGUCUUCAAGUGGCUAUGGGAGGAGAUGUACAACAUGGUGUUGUACCGCAAGGUACCGAUAUAUGCUCCUUUUGUGAUGCAGUUUCUGAGCACCGUUUGGGCAGUCCGUAGGCCAGGAGAGCCUCUCACCACUCCUGCCAACCUCACGGAGCAUGAGGUCAAGGAGCUAAGGAAGAAGAAGCAUAAGACUCCCCAUUUUUCUACGGGCAAUCAGGAGGAUGUGUAUGCUACCUCGGAUGGCGAGGACUUUGAGUUGGAGCCUGGGGUCCAGCCCACCUGGGUUGAGAAGCUGACUUCCAAGAUCAAGAAGACCUUUUGCUUGCAGACCCAUAUUCAGAAGAAGCUCUACAAGGCCCACGUUGCUGAGAAGAUGGCACGUCGCAUGCAGAUUCAGUUGAUGAGGCACCUCAAUGUGCCAGAUGUGAAGAGUGGCUCCGAGAAGACCAUCACUCCUGAGGAUACUUGGUGCUUGGAGAACUGUCAGUGGUCUGACGAGGCACCAGCUUAUUCCUCUGUCCGUGUUCCUGAGGCAGCUACUGUGAGGUCUGAGGAGUCUGAUGAGGCUCAGGAUCCUGACGAUGAUAUUGAUGAUGAUGCAUCAGACAGCUCUGCGGCUACUGGCGAGGAGGUCUACUGA
rnacentral:rRNA from 1 species